rnacentral:rRNA from 1 species
GUCUACAGCCAUACCACCCUGAACAUGCCCAAUCUUGUCUGGUCUCAGAAGCUAAACAGGGUCAGGCCUGCUUAGUACUUGGAUGGGAGGAAGAUCUUCAGAGGAGACUGUUCAUAGACA